rnacentral:rRNA from 1 species
GGGAGGCAGCAGUGGGGAAUAUCGCACAAUGGGCGAAAGCCUGAUGCAGCAACGCCGCGUGAGCGAUGAAGGCCUUCGGGUCGUAAAGCUCUGUCCUCAAGGAAGAUAAUGACGGUACUUGAGGAGGAAGCCCCGGCUAACUACGUGCCAGCAGCCGCGGUAAUACGUAGGGGGCUAGCGUUAUCCGGAAUUACUGGGCGUAAAGGGUGCGUAGGUGGUUUUUUAAGUCAGAAGUGAAAGGCUACGGCUCAACCGUAGUAAGCUUUUGAAACUAGAGAACUUGAGUGCAGGAGAGGAGAGUAGAAUUCCUAGUGUAGCGGUGAAAUGCGUAGAUGUUAGGAGGAAUACCAGUAGCGAAGGCGGCUCUCUGGACUGUAACUGACACUGAGGCACGAAAGCGUGGGGAGCAAACAGGAUUAGAUACCCUGGUAGUCCACGCCGUAAACGAUGAGUACUAGGUGUCGGGGGUUACCCCCCUCGGUGCCGCAGCUAACGCAUUAAGUACUCCGCCUGGGAAGUACGCUCGCAAGAGUGAAACUCAAAGGAAUUG